rnacentral:lncRNA from 1 species
GGCCCGAGCCCGCGGCGCAGCGGAGAGGCGGCCUGCGCCCAGGAAGGGCUCCGCAAAGGGGAACGGAGGGGUGCACCCUAGGCUGCGGGAGCGCGAGAGGAGGGGGGCCCCCCGUUUGGAGGCGAAAAGCGCAGGCCCCGGGGGAGGCCCCACCGCCCGGAGCUUUGCGGCCGACAGCCAAGAGUGCGCUACGGGCACCCAAACCCUGAUCGCGUCCAGGGGGGCCCCGGCCUGCCCGCAGGACCAGCUUUAAUUUGUCCGAACUAACACAGGGCACGCCCUCACGUGGUCGGCCGGGGCAAUGUGAAGUGAGCUAGGACAUCUUCGAGGGGGGUCUCCGCUCGAGUCAAAGAGGAUAGCGAACGGAGGCACCCUCCAGCUGCGCGCCCAGGGUCUUGUUAUGCCUCACGGGCCUGGGCACAACACGGGAGGAAGCGGGGGACGACCGAAAUGUCUGGAGACAUUUCUUAGCCGCCCGCUCCCUUGUUGCUGAUGCCCCGAGUGCCCCAUUUUGUGGUGCGCAAAUAGCCGCCAUCAUUUCCCCCAAAGCCAAAUGGCGGCUCCAGGGUAGGACAGGGUGGGCGAUGUUAAGGCUGCGACCCCUGGAGGAGGUCCCGGAGAGCAUGAGGGAGGGGAGUUGCUCUUAGCUCCGGGCCACACCCCUCCCCCUCUUGUAUGGGGAGGGCAAUCAGAGUGGGUCCGCUCCCUGCUCUCCGGGUGCCAGACGAAGUCUUCUGCAGAAGCUCGUGCAAGUCUGGCGGCCUUGAGCUCCACUGGGUCCUGUAUUGGGGGUGCGGAGGAGGUGCCGGACAGUCUUUCCCGAAGCCAAAGAAGCCUGCGCUUGGGGCGGCUGGGACCACGGAGAGACAGUCGGGAGGAGAGCGGGUCCUUUUGGCAGGCCCCUAUGAGCAGGCGUGGUGGGCCCUCCCCUCUUCUCGGCGCUCACCCCUUUCACAGCUCUUGUUCUCCGACAAGCUAGUGAAUACGCCCCAGAAGAGGAGGAAAUCACGGCUGGGAAAGGUGAGACUGGGUGUUUCGGGGGCGGGGGUCAUGGGCAUAGAGCUGUUAGAGGACUUAGGUCUCCAGGGCAGUGAGUUUACCCCACAGGAGAGGGAGAAUAGAUUGCAACCCAGGUCCCUGCAAAGAAGGCCAAGCUCCUCUCCCAGGAAAGAGGAUCCCUGAAUGGACUGUCUGCCCAGGGUCAGGAAAACCAUGAGGGCCUGCGAUCUCAGCCAAGUUGAGGAAAGACCAUCUGAACUUCCUAACAGAGUUGAGGGAGUGGGUUUCUGACAGAGCCCCUGAGCUGAGCCCUGGGGAGCAGCAAGGGUCUUGCAGAGCCUGCAUGGCUUGAACAAAGACCUCAAGUCCCAAAAAUGCAAAGUGUGUGCAGGCCGGUUGCGUUGACGAUGUUACACAGUGAGAGAGAAGCUGCAGGAUGCAAACGCUGCGCGGCCCCCCGCCCCACAGCGAGUCUGUCCAGGAGCAAAAGCCAGGCUGGGGAGGUGGAUAUGGCGGCCCUGGUAGGGUAGCCCAGGGUGCAUGGAGAUGGGAUGGGAACAGGGACGCCCAGAUGAGAGCUGGCCCAAGGAAACCAGCUGGGGGGGAGGCUUGAGCUUGGGGGCUCUGAAAGGGCAGAGGGAGAGAGGGGCUGAUUCCACUGAUGGAACCCCAGCACGGGCAGCAAGGGCGCCGCCAGACUGAAACAUUUGUCCAGCCUUCACGGGAGAGGAGGUUGCUGGAAAUGUGAAUCUGGAGCUGGCUACAGUAGCAGGCUGGGUGAGGGGUACCCUCCUGGGGUCAUCAUGGAGGGGACAGGGUCCCCAGGAGACAGAGGAAGAAUGGUCAGAGAGGAAGGAGGGAAGCCAGGUGGGGCCAGAGUCAUGGAAGCUGAGGAGGAGAGAGUCUCAAGAAAGAAGGGCUGGUGGUCCCAGCGCAGCCCACUCAGAAAGGGGACUGAUGAUCAGAGCGGACAGGGUUGGCAGAGCUGAGGAGACUGGUGAGCUUCCAGUCACUAAGGCGGAGCUCGCUCCUGCGAGACCCUGUGGCUGGGCCCUGCCUGUUUCACCCAGUGUUUUUUUAAAAAAAAACACUGUUAGUUCCAGGAUUGAAAAAUCAGGAGAUUUCAGAUAAAAAUGCAGUCCAGGUUUCCCUUAAAAACAUCUGAAGAAUCGGUUGGGUCGGG